rnacentral:tRNA from 1 species
UGGCUCAGAUGGUAAAGCGUCUGCCUGCAAUGCAAGAGACCCAGGUUCGAUCCCUGG